rnacentral:rRNA from 1 species
UAGCAUAUCAAUAAGCGGAGGAAAAGAAACCAACAGGGAUUGCCUCAGUAACGGCGAGUGAAGCGGCAAGAGCUCAAAUUUGAAAGCUGGCCCCCUCGGGGUCCGCAUUGUAAUUUGCAGAGGAUGCUUCGGGAGUGGCCCCCAUCUAAGUGCCCUGGAACGGGCCGUCAUAGAGGGUGAGAAUCCCGUCUGGGAUGGGGUGCCCACGCCCGUGUGAAGCUCCUUCGACGAGUCGAGUUGUUUGGGAAUGCAGCUCUAAAUGGGUGGUAAAUUUCAUCUAAAGCUAAAUACUGGCCGGAGACCGAUAGCGCACAAGUAGAGUGAUCGAAAGAUGAAAAGCACUUUGAAAAGAGAGUUAAACAGCACGUGAAAUUGUUGAAAGGGAAGCGCUUGCGACCAGACUCGCCCACGGGGUUCAGCCGGCAUUCGUGCCGGUGUACUUCCCCGCGGGCGGGCCAGCGUCGGUUUGGGCGGCCGGUCAAAGGCCCUUGGAAUGUACCGCCCCCCGGGGCGGCUUAUAGCCAAGGGUGCCAUGCGGCCAGCCCGGACCGAGGAACGCGCUUCGGCUCGGACGCUGGCAUAAUGGUCGUAAGCGACCCGUCUUGAAACACGGACCAAGGAGUCUAACAUCUACGCGAGUGUUCGGGUGUCAAACCCGUGCGCGCAGUGAAAGCGAACGGAGGUGGGAACCCCUCGGGGCGCACCAUCGACCGAUCCUGAUGUCUUCGGAUGGAUUUGAGUAAGAGCGUAGCUGUUGGGACCCGAAAGAUGGUGAACUAUGCCUGAAUAGGGCGAAGCCAGAGGAAACUCUGGUGGAGGCUCGCAGCGGUUCUGACGUGCAAAUCGAUCGUCAAAUUUGGGUAUAGGGGCGAAAGACUAAUCGAACCAUCUAGUAGCUGGUUCCUGCGA